rnacentral:tRNA from 1 species
GGGCGGUUAGCUCAGUGGUAGAGCGCUUCGUUCACACCGAAGAGGUCGCUGGUUCGAGUCCAGCACCGCCCACCA